UACGUAGGGUGCAGGCGUUAAUCGGAAUUACUGGGCGUAAAGCGUGCGCAGGCGGUUUGCUAAGACAGAUGUGAAGUCCCCGGGCUUAACCUGGGAACUGCGUUUGUAACUGGCAAGCUAGAGUGUGGCAGAGGGGGGUGGAAUUCCAAGUGUAGCAGUGAAAUGCGUAGAUAUUUGGAGGAACACCGAUGGCGAAGGCAGCCCCCUGGGCUAACACUGACGCUCAUGCACGAAAGCGUGGGGAGCAAACAGG
rnacentral:rRNA from 1 species